rnacentral:rRNA from 1 species
CCUCGGGUGGCAGCAGUGAGGAAUAUUGGUCAAUGGCCGUAAGGCUGAACCAGCCAAGUCGCGUGAAGGAAGAAGGAUCUAUGGUUUGUAAACUUCUUUUAUAGGGGAAUAAAGGUAUCCACGUGUGGAUAUUUGCAUGUACCCUAUGAAUAAGCAUCGGCUAACUCCGUGCCAGCAGCCGCGGUAAUACGGAGGAUGCGAGCGUUAUCCGGAUUUAUUGGGUUUAAAGGGUGCGUAGGUGGUUUUUUAAGUCAGCGGUGAAAGUUUGUGGCUCAACCAUAAAAUUGCCGUUGAAACUGGAAGACUGGAGUGUGUGAGAGGUAGGCGGAAUGCGUGGUGUAGCGGUGAAAUGCAUAGAUAUCACGCAGAACUCCGAUUGCGAAGGCAGCAUGCUAGCCCAAAACUGACACUGAGGCACGAAAGCGUGGGUAUCAAACAGGAUUAGAUACCCCAGUAGUC